rnacentral:rRNA from 1 species
GUGCCAGCAGCCGCGGUAAUACGGAGGAUCCAAGCGUUAUCCGGAAUCAUUGGGUUUAAAGGGUCCGUAGGUGGAAGAUUAAGUCAGAGGUGAAAUCCUGCAGCUCAACUGUAGAAUUGCCUUUGAUACUGGUUUUCUUGAGUUAUUAUGAAGUAGUUAGAAUAUGUAGUGUAGCGGUGAAAUGCAUAGAUAUUACAUAGAAUACCAAUUGCGAAGGCAGAUUACUAAUAAUAUACUGACACUGAUGGACGAAAGCGUGGGGAGCGAACAGGAUUAGAUACCCUGGUAGUCCACGCCGUAAACGAUGGAUACUAGCUGUUCGAUUUCGACUGAGUGGCUAAGCGAAAGUGAUAAGUAUCCCACCUGGGGAGUACGUUCGCAAGAAUGAAACUCAAAGGAAUUGACGGGGGCCCGCACAAGCGGUGGAGCA